rnacentral:ncRNA from 2 species
ACGAACUGGCUCGCAGCAGGCCAUAUACUGCUGGCUCGGUGCAGAAACGGGAAGUCGGUGCAAGCCCGACACGGUCCUCGCCACUGUGACCGGAGAGCUCCGCCUCGACGAUGCCACUGAAUCAUCCAGAUUCGGGAAGGCCGAGGCGAGCGUUCGAUCCGGAAGUCAGGAGACCGCCUGCGCCGUCACACAGAU